rnacentral:rRNA from 1 species
CAGUAGCCGCGGUAAUACAGAGGGUGCGAGCGUUAAUCGGAUUUACUGGGCGUAAAGCGUGCGUAGGCGGCUUUUUAAGUCGGAUGUGAAAUCCCUGAGCUUAACUUAGGAAUUGCAUUCGAUACUGGGAAGCUAGAGUAUGGGAGAGGAUGGUAGAAUUCCAGGUGUAGCGGUGAAAUGCGUAGAGAUCUGGAGGAAUACCGAUGGCGAAGGCAGCCAUCUGGCCUAAUACUGACGCUGAGGUACGAAAGCAUGGGGAGCAAACAGGAUUAGAUACCCCCGUAGUCCUGUCUCUUAUACA